rnacentral:rRNA from 1 species
AUUGAACGCUGGCGGCAGGCUUAACACAUGCAAGUCGAGCGGAGAUGAGGUGCUUGCACCUUAUCUUAGCGGCGGACGGGUGAGUAAUGCUUAGGAAUCUGCCUAUUAGUGGGGGACAACAUUCCGAAAGGAAUGCUAAUACCGCAUACGUCCUACGGGAGAAAGCAGGGGAUCUUCGGACCUUGCGCUAAUAGAUGAGCCUAAGUCGGAUUAGCUAGUUGGUGGGGUAAAGGCCUACCAAGGCGACGAUCUGUAGCGGGUCUGAGAGGAUGCACCGCCACGCUGGGACUGGAGCACGGCCAGGACUCGGACGGGAGGGAGCAGGGGGGAAUAAUGGACAAUGGGGGAAACCCUCAUCCAGCCAUGCCGGGUGUGUGAAGAAGGCCUUAUGGUUGUAAAGCACUUUAAGCGAGGAGGAGGCUACUGAGACUAAUACUCUUGGAUAGUGGACGUUACUCGCAGAAUAAGCACCGGCUAACUCUGUGCCAGCCGCCGCCGUAA